ensembl:miRNA MIR1307 microRNA 1307
CAUGGAGAGCCAGCCAAGCCACAGCCACUGCCUAGCGACCUCGACCGGACCUCGACCGGCUCGUCUAUGUUGCAAAUCGACUCGGCGUGGCGUCGGUCGUGGUAGAUAGACGGUCAAACAUACGAGUUUUCGACUGUUCUGAUGAC